AUGCUAAAGGCGCGUUCAGGUGCUCGUCCGGCAUGGCAUGCCGGCGAGUGAAACGGGAAGCCGGUGAGCCCCUCGGGGCAAUUCCGGCACUGCCCCCGCAACGGUAGGUGAGCAAAGUCGAGUCAGUUUGCCACUGUGCACGAGCACGGGAAGGCGACUCGACGGGAAACCCCUCUCACGAGUCCGUAGACCGGCCUGCGACGUGGCGGCACG
rnacentral:ncRNA from 2 species